AACACACCAGAAACAAGUAAAGGUUUACUAAAACUUCUCUUUCUACUGGCACCAGUGACCUUAUUGUGAUAACCAAUGUGCCACACCACAGCGAAAUAACAUAACAUCUAUUAGCCUUCGAAAAUUUUGGCUUCAGUGAUUCUCAUAGAACUUUCUACAGAUGUUUUGAUUUAGAAGCUUUACGAUCCAGACUUCCUAGCAUACUUUGAAAUUUCAGUUUAAACAAGUCUCUCGGGACAGUGUUCAUGGCAUAGUAUUUAUCUUGAUCAUAUGGAUCUUGCACAUAGAAGCA
rnacentral:lncRNA from 1 species